rnacentral:rRNA from 1 species
UACGUAGGCAGCAAGCGUUGUUCGGAAUUACUGGGCGUAAAGAGUGUGUAGGCGGUGCUCCAAGUCUGGUGUGAAAUCUCCCGGCUUAACUGGGAGGGUGCAUUAGAAACUGGAAUGCUAGAGGAUGGGAGAGGUAAGCGGAAUUCCUGGUGUAGCGGUGAAAUGCGUAGAUAUUAGGAGGAACACCUGUGGUGUAGACAGCUUACUGGACCAUUUCUGACGCUGAGACACGAAAGCGUGGGUAGCAAACAGG